UUAUUAUUAUUAUUAUUAUUAUUAUUAUUAUUAUUAUUGUGGUUAAAAUAUAUAUAAAAAAAUUAUAAAUACUUGUUUUUUCUUUUGAUUUUCAAAAACCUUUAUUUUGCCUUUUUUAAAUUUCAGAAACAUUUCAAAAGGUCUGGCUUUAAUGAAAAUGACAAAAUGAUCAAAUUAUUCUUACUUCUUUUAUAAGAAAAAAUAAAAUUUUAAUAUAUUUCUGUUAUUUUAAAAGAUAUUUUCGAUCUAAAUUAUAAGAAAUUGACAGAAUAAUAAUAAAACUCUGACGGAGGAGGGCUAUAUGCAUGCAAUAACUUAAAAUGUUGAGCAUAUAAAAUGUAGAUUUUUGAAAAAUUAAAGAGAAAAAGUGAAAAAUAUAUAUAUAUAUAUAUAAACGGACUUUAUGUAAUUUAGUCUAUUAUUAUUACUAUUUGUUUCCAAAUUUGAUCGCUUGGGCAAUCAUAAAUUACAAUUUACUUUUUAAUAUCGAAAACAAACUUAUGUGAAAAUAAGGCCAAUUUUUUAUUUGACACUUUUCAAUUUCCAUCUAUAAGUAAAUAAUAAUAAUAAUAAUAAUAAUAAUAAUAAGUAACUGGAGUGAAAAAAAUUAUUAUUUAUCUAUUGAUCAUCGGUUAUCACACUAUGUAACAAUAAUAAUUAAACUUCACUAGUUAAAAAAUUAUACAUAUCUGUGUAUUUUACUAUUCUCCUGUAAAAGAGAUUUCUCUAAAUCCCUGUAUAAUCAACAUCAAACAUUAGUAUCAAAUCUAACAAUUAA
rnacentral:lncRNA from 1 species